UUUGGCCUACGGGAGGCAGCAGUGAGGAAUAUUGGUCAAUGGGCGGGAGCCUGAACCAGCCAAGCCGCGUGAGGGAAGAAGGUACAGCGUAUCGUAAACCUCUUUUGUCGGGGAGCAAAAGACGCCACGUGUGGCGUUCCGAGAGUACCCGAAGAAAAGGCAUCGGCUAACUCCGUGCCAGCAGCCGCGGUAAUACGGAGGAUGCGAGCGUUAUCCGGAUUUAUUGGGUUUAAAGGGUGCGCAGGCGGAAGAUCAAGUCAGCGGUAAAAUUGAGAGGCUCAACCUCUUCGAGCCGUUGAAACUGG
rnacentral:rRNA from 1 species